GCCUUCGUGGUGUAACGGUAGCACAUUCGGCGCGUAAUCAAGAGAACCGGGUUCGAAUCCUGGCGACGGCA
rnacentral:tRNA from 1 species